rfam:Daucus carota subsp. sativus cultivar DH1 chromosome 3, whole genome shotgun sequence.
AAGCUGAAGAUGAGUUACUCUAAUUCCUCCCAAGGGAAUCAUAAAUAAAGCAAAAUCGAGUUUCUGAUGCU